CUGGAGUACAAUGGUACAAUCUUGGCUCACUGCAACCUCUGCCUCCCAAGUUCAAGCGAUUCUCCUGCUUCAGCAUCCGGAGUAGCUGUGAUUACAAACGUGCCACUAUACCCGGAGAGCUUAUGGUCUUUUCUUAACAUUUCUUGAUGACGAGGAUGGGAUUUGAAGUGGCACCCUUGCUUUUUCCCAACACUAUCUGGACCAAUGCAUUUGCACCUGCAAGAACCCCUUGAGCUCACUUAUCUUCCUGGCUGCACCAGGGAGAAAUGAGAACCUGAAGACCGAAUCCUCUGAGAACAACAGAGAUACUUUCUUGCCAUGUACACUCCAGCAAAAACUUCGGGACCUUGAACUUUGGGUUCAUAAUCUCACAACUGAGAAGGAUUACUCCACACUCAUAGAACUGCACACCCAUUGGAACCCUUAAGGUGAAGCUAACCAGGGAAUUUUCUCCCCAGAAGAAGAAGAUAUUCUUGAUAUGAACAGCUUUUCCCAAAAUCAUGGAUCAAGAUUUCUACUAUUAUAAGACUCUUAUCUUUGAAUAUUUUUCCCUUGCUUAUACCUCUAUGAACAAUAGAAGUGAAAAGAGGGUCUAUUUUGUGCACAUAUGGGUAUACCUUUAUUUGUGAAUAAUUUUGCAGCCAGCCUUAUACAUAGAUAAACUUAUAUCUUGAUAGAUGAAAGAUGAAGGUGCAAUGUAGGUGAGAAACCUUAAUGGUAUAUACAGUGUCACAUAGUUAGAAACAGAACAUUGGUUCACUCCUCCUAACCCACAUCAUGAGUUAAAGAGAACAUUGCCAGGAGGCCUUCACUCUUCUAGAAAGGCAUCAUUUGUUAGGUCCUUUUCUUUCAAGGUUUGGAUUAAAAAAAAAAAAAAAAAAAAAAAAACGCAAUGAUUAGAAAUGUAUCCCUCAUAAUAGGCUCUAUUGCAGACUCUACUAUAAAGGCUGUGGUUACACGACAGACUUUAAAUUCUCCUUUGAAAUAAAAUUGCUCUAGAUUAUAAACUGGCUAAACAGAGAAGUAUCUGAGGAACUGCCAGCACUUGUGGCCUAUGGAGAAAUAUAUCAAAUGUAGAUUAUAGAUAUUCAGGUACAGAAGAUUAACAAAAAGACAGCUGAGUUAAUUGAGUGGCCCCUUAUCUAGUUCACUCUUUACUUAACUUUAGGUGGUUUGGUUUAUGGGGACCCUGGGUGAGAAGCAUAUACCAAAUUCUUGGUAUUAUUCUCCUAAUAGUCAUAAUAGAUUUCCUGGUACACUGUAUUCUCUCAAAAGUUUUAAAUGUUUGCAUGUAGCCAUCUCUAGAAUGUCAAAUGGUAUCUCUUCAACUGGAAUGACAAGAGCUGACAGACAUGUGUGACCAUGAGGACACCAUAACCUAUGAAUGACAUGCUGAGACUCGAAACCCAAAAUGGUGACAGGGUCACCCAGACUGGAGUGCAGUGGUGCAAUCUCAGAUCACCCCAAACUCUACCUCCCAGGCUCAAUCAAUUCUGCCU
rnacentral:lncRNA from 10 species